rnacentral:tRNA from 1 species
GGCGCCGUGGCCAAGUGGCUUAAGGCAGCGGAUUGCAAAUCCGCCAUCGGGGGUUCGAAUCCCCCCGGCGCCU